rnacentral:rRNA from 1 species
AGCAGCCGCGGUAAUUCCAGCUCCAAUAGCGUAUAUUAAAGUUGUUGCAGUUAAAAAGCUCGUAGUUGAAUUUCGGGAUCAAUUAAUUGGUCGUGCCUCUGGUACGUACUGGUUUUAUUGGUUUCUCCCUUCUGACGAACCAUGAUGUCAUUAAUUUGGUGCCGUGGAGAAUCAGGACUGUUACUUUGAAAAAAUUAGAGUGUUUAAAGCAAGCUAACGCUUGAAUACAUUAGCAUGGAAUAAUGAAAUAGGACGUUUGAUCCUAUUUUGUUGGUUUCUAGGAUCGACGUAAUGAUUAAUAGGGAUAGUUGGGGGCAUUAGUAUUCAAUUGUCAGAGGUGAAAUUCUUGGAUUUAUUGAAGACUAACUACUGCGAAAGCAUUUGCCAAGGAUGUUUUCAUUAAUCAAGAACGAAAGUUAGGGGAUCGAAGACGAUCAGAUACCGUCGUAGUCUUAACCAUAAACUAUGCCGACUAGGGAUCGGAUGAUGUUAAUUUUUUAAUGACUCAUUCGGCGCCUUA